AUGAAUGUGUCCAAUCAACUUGAGUUCCAGAGUGUACCAGGCUUCCCCUCAGACUGGAAGCUGAGCUGGAAGGUGGAUAGGAGCAGUAGCAGCACCUGGGAGGUGACCGGGAGCCCUGGGGUCCUGGAGAAGGACGGCCACUACAGCUGGAGCAGCACCCUGAGCCUUCCUGUCGACCAGUGGAGGAAGGUCAGCUCUGUGACCUGUGAGGCCACCCAGGGCUCCCAGUCUCCACUCUCUGAGACACUGAGGAGAGACCAGUGUUCUGACGAAUGAGCUCCUUCUCUGACUCCACAGUUUUACUCUGUUCUGCACUCAGCGCCUCUUCGUCUUACUGAUCCAGCACUACUAGUACCACAGGAGGUUGGUGGCACCUUCAUUGGGGAGGACGGCUCAUAGUUAUGGCUGGAAC